AGUGAACGCUGGCGGUAGGCCUAACACAUGCAAGUCGAACGGCAGCACAGUAAGAGCUUGCUCUUACGGGUGGCGAGUGGCGGACGGGUGAGGAAUACAUCGGAAUCUACUUUUUCGUGGGGGAUAACGUAGGGAAACUUACGCUAAUACCGCAUACGACCUACGGGUGAAAGCAGGGGAUCUUCGGACCUUGCGCGAUUGAAUGAGCCGAUGUCGGAUUAGCUAGUUGGCGGGGUAAAGGCCCACCAAGGCGACGAUCCGUAGCUGGUCUGAGAGGAUGAUCAGCCACACUGGAACUGAGACACGGUCCAGACUCCUACGGGAGGCAGCAGUGGGGAAUAUUGGACAAAGGGCGCAAGCCUGAUCCAGACAUACCGCGUGGGUGAAGAAGGCCUUCGGGUUGUAAAGCCCUUUUGUUGGGAAAGAAAAGCAGCAGGUUAAUACCCCGCUGUUCUGACGUUACCAAAAGAAUAAGCACCGGCUAACUUCGUG
rnacentral:rRNA from 1 species